CAUUAGUGAGGCACAUUUGUGGUUUUGUCUGUGAUGUGCUUCUAAAGAGGAUUAACUAAGCCAAGAUCCAACCUAAAUUUGAGUGUCAACAUCUCAUUGGCUCAGGUCUCAGGCUGGACAAAAAGUGACAAAGGAAAAGAUAUCUGAGUGCCAGCUAAGCAUGAUUUCUUUACACCUUAAUUCAUCUAGAGGUGCACAAGCUGGUUAUAUUCCUGCUGCAACAGUUGUUGCAUGUGAAAUAAGAAGACAUGAAGAUGAAGAGGAAAUUAAGACCUCACAAAUUAAUGUUUGAAAGCCGAGGAGACGGCUUGCUUUCAGGACAUCAGCAGUUCCUAUGAAUAAUGUUUGUUCAGCGGGAGGAGAAUAAUAAAGAAAUGAAAAUUUUAUCAGAACCU